CUACGGGUGGCAGCAGUGGGGAAUAUUGGACAAUGGGCGAAAGCCUGAUCCAGCCAUGCCGCGUGUGUGAAGAAGGCCUUCGGGUUGUAAAGCACUUUCAGUGGGGAAGAAAGCCUUGGGGCUAAUACCCUCGAGGAAGGACAUCACCCACAGAAGAAGCACCGGCUAACUCCGUGCCAGCAGCCGCGGUAAUACGGAGGGUGCGAGCGUUAAUCGGAAUUACUGGGCGUAAAGCGCGCGUAGGCGGUCUGAUAAGCCGGUUGUGAAAGCCCCGGGCUCAACCUGGGAACGGCAUCCGGAACUGUCAGGCUAGAGUGCAGGAGAGGAAGGUAGAAUUCCCGGUGUAGCGGUGAAAUGCGUAGAGAUCGGGAGGAAUACCAGUGGCGAAGGCGGCCUUCUGGACUGACACUGACGCUGAGGUGCGAAAGCGUGGGUAGCAAACAGGAUUGGAUACCCCAGUAGUC
rnacentral:rRNA from 1 species